CAAUUUCGCAGGAGCAAUGCACACUCUCGCUUCCCACAUCCCGAUCACUCUCAAACUUAUUCGUAAACAUCUUUAAACCCUCUAGAACAUGUAGGAAGGUUCUGAAUGUCAUUCCCCUUACUCGAACUUCGCAAUUUGCACAAGCUCAGUAUACUACACAAAAGCCUUCCGCGUAUUCCUCAGCGUAUUCCUCAACAGACGUAUAAUACAAUGCCGUACUGUCUGGCGCUCAUUAAAUGCACCGCGUCUGUAAUAUACCGAAAAUUCGGAAAGUAAAUAUCGAACUUUAGUCAAAUUGACCAAAGUGCGAGGAUGGUACACUUCGAAAAGUCCGAAGGUGUUAAAAUGAUCAAAAGUGUGUUGUGGAAGGUUUUCGAGAGCUAAAGAAUCAAAAUCUGCAUUCUGCAGGUUUUGUGCUCUCGGGGACCGGUCCCUGGUUGGAGAGACCGGUCCCCGAACGCGUGAGAAAUAAGACAGCCGAAAAAUCGGCUAAGUCCCAGAAAAGUAGCUCUCGGGAACCGGCCCCUGCGGGGAGAGACCGGUCCCCGAGAGACCGGUCCCCCAAGGAGAGACCGGAUGCAUCGCGCGUAGCCCUGGCUGCCCGCGGGGAGAGCUUUCUGGGACCGGUACCUGGUCGGGGAGACCGGUCCCCGCCUGCGCGAACAGCCCAGCCCAGGCAGUGUGAAAGAGCAAAAGUUGAGGGGUUUAUUUGCAUUUUUG
rnacentral:lncRNA from 1 species